rnacentral:tRNA from 1 species
GGGCGAAUGGUCUAGUGGUAUGAUUUUCCCUUAGCAUGGGAGAGGUCCGGGGUUCAAUUCCCCGUUUGUCCA